UACCUACGGGGGGCAGCAGUGGGGAAUAUUGCACAAUGGGGGAAACCCUGAUGCAGCAACGCCGCGUGAAGGAAGGCGGUUUUCGGAUUGUAAACUUCUGUUCUUAGUGAAGAAGAAUGACGGUAGCUAAGGAGCAAGCCACGGCUAACUACGUGCCAGCAGCCGCGGUAAUACGUAGGUGGCAAGCGUUGUCCGGAAUUACUGGGUGUAAAGGGAGCGCAGGCGGGGAGACAAGUCAGCUGUGAAAACUACGGGCUUAACUUGUAGACUGCGGUUGAAAAUGGUUUUCUUGAGUGGAGUAGAGG
rnacentral:rRNA from 1 species